CAGUGUCAUCGGGUUAUCUGGCUGUGACCGUCAGUGUUUAAGUCAGCUUAAACACCGUGCGAGUUAUUAGUUGCUCGGUUAGUUAAGAAGAAUGCGUGCAUUCUACACGAUUCUCGCACUCGUGAUCCUCUCCGCGAGCCUCGCCGAAUGUUGGUCCUUCUCGAACGUGGCGACGUCCAUCGACAAACUGAUACGGCCGCAAAAUGAUACAUCAAAAGUUCUAAAUGGAAGUGAUGGCGCUAUAUCGACGGCAUCCCCAGAGGUCACGGUACAAGGCAGAAUAAUAUUCGUUCCACGAAGAAAUAAAGUCCUCUGUCAACCGGGUCAGCAAGUCGACCGGCGUGGCAAGUGCAGGACAAUAUGGUGAAACAAAAUGAUAAACAAGAAUCUUUAUAGAUAAUUGAACCAUUCCUGUUUUUUGAAAGAUGACGUCCCCGGAAGAAAACAAGAAGCUUAACAGGAUUAAAAACAAACGAGACUAUUAUUUCAAUCGUCGGGAAUAAUUAAUGGGAACCAUGGAUCUACGUUAGAUGUACCUAAUUAAUUAUAUAUAUAUAAGAUCUGCAAUUCACCAAAUCAUAUUUGGCAAUAGUGGAUUUCAUUCAAAAUGCAAUUAAUUAAGAUGUAAAGACCACAAACUAAAUUUUGCUGCGCAUAUUUAUCCCCAGAAACGUACAAAAACAGACAAUGAUUUUAUAUUAGGCGCACAACAAAUAAAACUGUAGUGGGAGUAUAUUACAGAGUAUUAAAUUUAUACUAAAAAAUGAA